GCCUCUGGUUCUAACUGGGGAGCAACAAGAAUCCCACUGGCUUUCCAGCCUAGUCUGCUUUGGGUUCUUGUAUACUUACGCAGAUGUUUUUAGCCAGUGAUAACGUGUUGCCUGCAGAAGUUCAUCACUCACAGAAUCUUGGCAUGACCUUGAAAAAUAUCAUGAAGCCAGAAAUGAAGACACGAAUAUGACCCAGUUGCUCUUCAUUCCCAA
rnacentral:lncRNA from 1 species